rnacentral:ncRNA from 1 species
CCCUGACAGUUACAGUGUGUAACUGACAUUUGCCACGACAGGAGAUUAUCAUG